rnacentral:lncRNA from 1 species
UCAGUUACACCUCUAGGAGGUGGUGGGGUGGAGAUGGUGGAAAUGCUUUGGAAGUGAAGACCUGGUAGCUAUAGUCCAGAGAAAAUCUGACAGAGAUGUAUUAACAUUACAGUAAUUGCCCAGUGUUUGUUCUUCAAUGUAUGAACUUGUAAUAAAAUCAAAAGUGCUUUGGAGUGCCUGAAGCUAUGAAGCAACACAAUGUGUGCAUACAAGGGCUGUAUGGCCCUGUCAAAGGAGAUUACUGCUGUCUCCCUAGUCCCUAGUUGGUAGACUACCUCCUUAAAUAGUGCACUAUUGCACUCUCCUUGGAAGUUUAAGACCUUGAAAAGUUCUCUAGUAUCUAGAGGCAUGCUUCUUCUCUCUGUUGAAUAGGCUUCUUAUUUUCAUUCACUAAAGUUGCCAUAUAGAAAUUAACCACACUGAUCUCAUGCCUAAAUAAUUAGCAUGAAGCUUUUUAUUUUAUGCUUUUAUGAUAAGAGAGAUGGAGGAAUUUACAUUACAAGGCAUGUAAGUAUAGACAUUCAGAUUGGAUCUGUAUAGGACCAUACUUGAUCCAUCAAGAAACUAUUUAUGUUAUAAUUAUUUAAACAUAAAUGUUAAAAUGAAAGUUCUAUUUGAAUCAUUUUCUCUUAAUAAUUUUUAAUUAUUUAAACUCAAAUUUUAAAAUAAAAGCUUCACUUAAAUUCAUCCCUCACUUUUUUUUAACACAAAAGCUC